UACGGGGGGGGCAAGCGUUGUUCGGAAUCACUGGGCGUAAAGCGCACGUAGGCGGAUUGCUAAGUCAGGGGUGAAAUCCUGGAGCUCAACUCCAGAACUGCCUUUGAUACUGGCGAUCUUGAGUCCGGGAGAGGUGAGUGGAACUGCGAGUGUAGAGGUGAAAUUCGUAGAUAUUCGCAAGAACACCAGUGGCGAAGGCGGCUCACUGGCCCGGUACUGACGCUGAGGUGCGAAAGCAUGGGGAGCGAACAGG
rnacentral:rRNA from 1 species